rnacentral:rRNA from 1 species
UACGAAGGGGCUAGCGUUGCUCGGAAUCACUGGGCGUAAAGCGCACGUAGGCGGAUUGCUAAGUCAGGGGUGAAAUCCUGGAGCUCAACUCCAGAACUGCCUUUGAUACUGGCGAUCUCGAGUCCGGGAGAGGUGAGUGGAACUGCGAGUGUAGAGGUGAAAUUCGUAGAUAUUCGCAAGAACACCAGUGGCGAAGGCGGCUCACUGGCCCGGUACUGACGCUGAGGUGCGAAAGCGUGGGGAGCAAACAGG